rnacentral:rRNA from 1 species
GUAGGGAAUCUUCCACAAUGGACGAAAGUCUGAUGGAGCAACGCCGCGUGAACGAUGAAGGCUUUCGGGUCGUAAAGUUCUGUUGUAAGGGAAGAACAAGUGCCGCAGGAAAUGGCGGCACCUUGACGGUACCUUGCGAGAAAGCCACGGCUAACUACGUGCCAGCAGCCGCGGUAAUACGUAGGUGGCAAGCGUUGUCCGGAAUUAUUGGGCGUAAAGCGCGCGCAGGCGGCCUCUUAAGUCUGAUGUGAAAGCCCCCGGCUCAACCGGGGAGGGCCAUUGGAAACUGGGAGGCUUGAGUAUAGGAGAGAAGAGUGGAAUUCCACGUGUAGCGGUGAAAUGCGUAGAGAUGUGGAGGAACACCAGUGGCGAAGGCGACUCUUUGGCCUGCACUGACGCUCAUGCACGAAAGCGUGGGGAGCAAACAGGAUUAGAAACCCGAGUAGUCC